AUGCCUACGAAUGUAGGGCAGUCCAAGAUGGGCACAUUUAAAUACCUUAGAGAUCGAGUCCGGGAGAAAGUCAAGGGAUGGAUGGAGAAACUCUUAUCCUCUGUUGGUAAAGAGAUAUUGAUCAAGGCCGUUGUCCAAGCUCUGCCAGUGUUUUCCAUGGCUUGUUUCAGGUUAACCCAAGGUCUCCGUGAGAACAUCACAUCCAUCAUCCGCCAAUUCUGGUGGGGAAGUAAAGUGGGAAAAUGGAAGCCGAGUUGGAUUGCAUGGGAUAUCAUGGUGAGACGAAAGCAUCUUGGGGGUCUUGGCUUCCGUGACAUGGAGAUCUUCAAUUUAGCUUUACUAGCAAGACAGGCUGGAGAGUGCUGA
rnacentral:rRNA from 1 species